CAUGCACAGGUCUGUGUAUGAAUGUCCGAAUAGAACACAUCAUUCGUGUUGUUUUGGAUUAUACAACUAGCCUGAAGCAAAUACUCUUCAAAACAACCCCUAUGCACAGGUCUGUAUGAAUGUCCUAAUAUUACAAGAUCGACCAUGCAGAUGCAAAAGCAAGGAAAAUUAGAAAAUUUGUAUUUCGUACUACCCUUGUAUUACUUCCCCAAUACAAGUAAUAAAUGAAAGAAUAACACAGCCAUCAAGCCAAAUUCCUCAAACAGAAUUAGAGUUUAACUGCAGCAUAUCUACUUAGACCAAGCAACUGUAUCAAUUUCUGCUUGAGCACUCCUGUAUAACUCCAGCCUCUUUGCAAGGGCAGAUCGCCGCUCCAUGAUUGCUGGAUCCUCAUUCAACAAUGAUGAUAAAUACUUUUGCUCCAUUUUACCCAAUUCGGUGAAGAAAUGAUCGAGCAGGCUUCGUUUGGCCUCGCGCACUUGACAAUAAACAAUGGAUUUGGGAAUGGAAUUACCAAGACUUGCACAGACCAUAUUGACAUAGGACAAAACAGUUGUUCCAAUUCGUCUAAGAUAUGAAUCAUUGUAUCUAUCAAAUAUUGAAUGUGUGGGAUUGCCACCCUUAUCAACAUCUUGAGGAAGCUUCCUGAAGAAAUCAACUGUCAGGUAGCUGCACUCCAUAUCAACUAGCUUAAGUGUAGCUUUCCUGCUUUCCUCCUUCAUCUUGUCAAGUGACUCAAUAGCAGCAUUUCCAACCUCUACUCUGAGCGCAGGAUAUUGCUUUAACUCCUGAGAACCGAGAAAAAAAAAAAAAAGAAAUAUCAUGAAUCCAUUGGGAACAAUAAAGCACAGUUAAAAAAAUGAAAAACAUUUGGGAUAUGAAAAUCUUUAAGUAGCAUAGUUUUCAUAAAUAUUAAUGUGCUCCUCUUUAUUCACACGUGAGUAUAUGUCUGAUAAAAGCAAGUGCAGUAGUUAAUAGGUGCCACAAAUAAUGCUAAAACUUGUACCCUUACAUCCUAUGACCUUCAAAAGCAGAUUCUAUCAGCAGCUAGUUCAAAAUUUGAUUUACUACUUGCUAUGUAUAAAUUCUU
rnacentral:misc_RNA from 1 species